rnacentral:misc_RNA from 1 species
GGAGAAGAAGAAGAAGAAGAGAGAAUGAAGAGUAUAGAGUGGUGAUUAGUGUGAGCACAGCUGAAAUUUAUACCGCUACUCUGAUACUUUGCUUUAUCGGUGGAUAGGCCAAACGGAGUCGUUUCAGACAGUGCUCGUGUGUUGGUGAGCAUGUAGUCGGGGGGUCCAGCUUGAAUCUGCCAUGGGAAAUUAGCAGGUCUUAAAUUUCCAUAUCCCAACAGCUGCCAGGUGGCGUGCACAGUUAUGAAAUUCUAAAG